AUCCUUUUUUGGUUCAUAAGCAUGAUGAUUGUGUUUGCACGCUAUUGUGUGACACGUGCCUCCCUCUAAACUUUGUUAGGACAUCAGCACAUUACCCGUCUGAUG